rnacentral:rRNA from 1 species
AUGAGGUGGAAACGGACAGAGCUGGCGUAUCUGGUCUGCAUUCAUCCGUGUGCUCUUGGGCGUUUGGAUUGCCACUCUCCAGACUGGGAUGGUGUUCAUUCUGUUCAGGGGCUCAUGGAGCAUUUGCAGGCGGAGUGCGCUGAGAUGCUCGGGGCAGCUGCAUGAGCUUGGCUUUGAGGCCAGCCCUUCGGGGUCUGGUACCCGGGCUGGGGGAGUGUUGUUUGUUCUGGGUGCUGAGUGGUGUGCAAUGGCAACGGGUCCGUGUUGGUUUGAGCUGGCGGUCGGUGGCGGUCGCGUGCGACACGUGCCAGCAGUCAGUUCGGUCCUGCUCGGGCUCUCAUUGCAUGUUCUCGGUGUAAAAGCCGGUCAUCUGUCCGACCCGUCUUGAAACACGGACCAAGGAGUUUAGCGUGUGCGCGAGUCAUUGGGAGUUGAAAACCCAAGGGCGUAAUGAAAGUGAAGGUCUCCUUGCGGAGCUGAUGUGUGAUCCCGUGCACCACGGUGUGCGGGCGCAACAUAGUCCCGUUCCUAUCGCAUGCGAUGGGGCGGAGACAGAGCGUACGCGCUGAGACCCGAAAGAUGGUGAACUAUUCCUGAGCAGGAUGAAGCCAGAGGAAACUCUGGUGGAAGUCCGAAGCGAUUCUGACGUGCAAAUCGAUCG